GCUCAGUAACACGUGGAGAACGUGCCCUUAAGUGGGGGAUAAUCUCGGGAAAUUGAGGAUAAUACCCCAUAGGUCAUGGGAUCUGGAAUGACCCAUGGCUGAAAGUUCCGGCGCUUAAGGAUCGCUCUGCGGCCUAUCAGGUAGUAGUGGGUGUAACGUACCCCCUAGCCUACGACGGGUAUGGGCCUUGAGAGAGGGAGCCCAGAGUUGGAUUCUGAGACACGAAUCCAGGCCCUACGGGGCGCAGCAGUCGCGAAAACUUCACACUGGGGGCAACCCCGAUGAGGGAAUUCCUAGUGCCAGGGCUUUUUGUCCUGGCUUUUCUCCAGCGUAGAUUACUGGAGGAAUAAGGGCUGGGUAAGACGGGUGCCAGCCGCCGCGGUAAUACCUGCAGCCCGAGUGGUGGUCGAUUUUAUUGAGUCUAAAACGUUCGUAGCCGGUCCGGUAAAUCCCUGGGUAAAUCGGGAAGCUCAACUUCCCGAAUUCCGGGGAGACUGCCGGACUUGGGACCGGGAGAGGCUAGAGGUACUUCUGGGGUAGGGGUAAAAUCCUGUAAUCCUGGAAGGACCACCGGUGGCGAAGGCGUCUAGCUAGAACGGAUCCGACGGUGAGGGACGAAGCCCUGGGUCGCAAACGGGAUUAGAUACCCCGGUAGUCCAGGGUGUAAACGCUGCAGACUUGGUGUUGGGGGCCCUUCGGGGGCGUCCAGUGCCGGAGAGAAGUUGUUAAGUCUGCUACUUGGGGAGUACGUCCGCAAGGAUGAAACUUAAAGGAAUUGGCGGGGGAGCAC
rnacentral:rRNA from 1 species